ACUGCUGAUAAGUCUUCUGUUAGUUGGAUGGGUUUUUCUUUAUAGGUUACCUGAUGCUUUUGUCUCACUGCUCUUACAAUUCUUCUUUUCAUGUUGACGUUAGAUAGCCUGAUGACAAUAUGCCUUUGUGAUUAUCUUUUUUGCAAUGGAUCUCCCAUGAAUUCUUUGAGCUUCUUAUAUUUGGAUAUCUAAAUCUCUACCAAGGCCAGCUAGAUGAUAGAGCAAGACAGUCUACAUUUAUUUCAUGUCUGAAAGGCUGGAAAAGAGAUCAUGUUCCCCACCAUCUUCACCUGAUCAUCACUGUUCACAAUAGCCAAGAUUUGGAAGAAACCUAAGUGUCCACCAAGAGAUGAAUGGAUAAAGAAAAUAUGGUACUUAUAUACAAUGGAGUAUACUCAGCCAUAAAAAAGAAUGAGAUCCAGUCAUUUGCAACAACAUGGAUGGAAAUGGAGAUCAUUACGUUAAGUGAAAUAAGCCAGUUCUGGAGGCCAGGAAUUUAAGCUGAGUCUUAUGUGGCUAAAAUCAAGGUAUCAUCAGGGCUGCUUCCUUCUGUCAGCUCCAGAGAGAAUACAUUCCUUGUCUCUGCCAGCUUCAGAUUUGUCUAAUAUAGAUACUUCCGUGAGCAGCCCAAGCCCCUCCUCACUGACAAGUUCUACUUCACCUUAACUGAGGGCAUUGCUCUUUCAGACAGACCACCUUGCAAAGGACAGCUGCAUACUCAACUUGCCGCUGUUUCUCCUGGAGGCCAACCUGGUGACCUUCCUCUUCCCUCUGGACCGCCUGAGAAGGGCGGCAGAAAAGGAGAUGGUGACAAGAUGCCUCUGCACAACCUCGCCAUGGUUUUGGCCCCAUGAUGCUCUGGCUUUCUAGUCUUCAUUGCUUUGUCUCCAACUCAAGCAUAGUGUUUUUUUUUUGUUUUUUUACUCAUUCUUGAGAGGAAGCCAUUAGCUUUCUUUGGUUGCUUUGUCAUUUAUCUUAUGUGACUACACCAGUUAAUCAAAAGAUCACUUGCUGCUCUUCUCCACUAAAACAACACCCACUUCAUGCUCAUUGUCUAAAGUGGGGGCACCAUUUGUAACUACAGAUACUAAUUGUGGGGAUCCCAGGUUUAUUAUGUGGGAGAGACUGAGACUCCCCUCAGCUGUCCCCUGAGGAGGGUUCAUAGGUGAGUGAGAAAGGGACAGGGCAGCGAUGUGGACAUCUCCCCACAUUGCCCAAGGGGCAUUGCUUCCUAGUGAGGAAACUCUCGCUGUAGUUUUCUGGCAGGGAAAUAAUACAAUCUCCAGAUCAUUUAUCAAUUUUGUUUUUUUUAAAUAAACAUUUUGCCAUUAUUAGAUGAGUAUAUAAAAAAUAAAUAAUAUGGAUUUAUCUCGCAGUGUACCAUUCAACUCCAUCCCAAAAUAGAUCUAUUAUCUUCUCUUUUGUUCAGUGAAUACUAUUCAUACCUAGGUAAAACUGUUGCUGUUACUCAUGAUUUAAGGGCAUUAGGAAUACAACUCAAGGGAAAAAAUACCGCUAUUGGAAACCAAAAAGAGUGUCUGGGACAGGUGUCAAUCUAUUUAGAGGUUUUUUUUCACCAAGGUUGAGGACGCACCCGGGAAAAAGAGACACGAGCCACAGUGGAAUCUGUGGCCUGCACUUUUUCCAAAGAAUUUUGAGGGUUUCAAUAUUUAUAGGGGAAAAAGCAGGCCAAAGGAAAAGGAGAGAAGACAAAAAGGGGAGAGUAGAAAAAAGGAGACAAGUGGUCUCAUUGUCUUGAGGCUUUCAUUAGUUCUCACUGAAGCCACAGGUUGCCCAUGAAAAGGAGGGGGUAGAGGAACAGCUGAUUAUGUACUCGCCUGGCACUGGUAAGGCUGCACCUCACAUGAGAUAAAGCAAACAUAGAGUAGAGGAAGCAUCAACAUGCAUUUGUCUUGGGGUGGUGGUAGGAAUAUUUCAGUUUCCUUUUGCCCUGUAUCCCUGAAGAUAAGUUGCUAAUUUACAUGGUCAGGGUGAGGGAGGUAACCUGGAAAGAUAUGUUUAGGAACAAAAGGAAAGAUGGUUUCUGGGUGUGACUCAGUUUCCAAGUUUAACUUUCCCUUUUGGCAUAGCGAGUUUGGGGUCCCAACAUUUUAUUUGCCUUUUACACUAUUGACUACUAACAGUGUUUGUUGUUAAAUUCCAUCUGUUUUAAAAUUUUAAUAAAAUAUUUAUAUCAUAAAA